UUUAAGCAAAUUCAUCAGUGGAGGAAGUGCAAGCAACCGCGAUUGCUUCAGUAACGGCGAGUGAAUGGGCAACACAAUCUCAGCCUGAAGUGAAUCCCAGACUGCACUGUCCUGUGGCAGAUGCGUCCGGCUCUCUAGGGUUCUGAUGCUGUGGGCUGUGGAGCAGGUGGCAGUGAUCAGGCUUGGGCAUGCACCAGGAAUGGCCCUGGAAGGGCCUACCAGAGUGGGAUACUGUCCUUUACGAAUGCCUGUGUGUGUGCCCAGCUUGGACGUUGCUGCUUGCAUCCAGGAGUAGAGUGGCUUGGGACUGCAGUUUGAAGCGUGGGGUAUAUCCCCCAUAAGGCAGCAUACUGACAUGGGACCGAUAGUGCACAAGUAGAGUGAUCGAAGGAUGCAAAGGACUCUGCAAAGAGGGUUAAAAGCCCCUGAAGCCUCAGCAGGAACGGCGGUGAGUGGUGCUGUGGUUCUCAGCUCCAGGGUAUGUCUCCAAGGCCUCUGUGGGUCAGCUGGGGUGCAAGGUUGCUGUGGCCUCACCCAGGUGGUGCAAGGUUGCAGUGGAUCUGCCACAGUGAAGCCCGCUCGGGUUGAGGGGUGUGUGCCUCGGCGGCUGCUGUCCUCUGACUUGGUGGUCAACCAGGUCAAGACAGGUUGAUAGAGAGUGCUACCAAGUGCCCUUGGGCCAGCCCAGAGCUGGCCACUGAGCUCUGUCCUCCAGGAUGGGAUGCAAUCGUGGCAGCCAAGUGGUGGCAGUAUGCCUGCCAGGGCCUGAGGGAUCACUGAUGUCUCCAGAGAGUUGCAGUAGCAGUGCUGGGAAACCAUCAACCUGGUGUGUCUCCGGAUAUGCCAGUGGCUGUGUUGGGUUCUGGCUGGGGUUGGUGGCUGCAUGGUGGCUGCACCAUUCUGAUGGUGGCCCUGUGUGGUUGCUGGCCCUCCAGACCUGGCAUGGUCAGAAGGCAGCUGAGCUUGGUACAAGCAGUGCCACUCUCUGCCCGUCUUGAAACACGGACCAAGGAGUCUAUGGAGCUUGCAAGCUUGCCGGUUCUCAAACCUGAAGGCGUGGUGAAGGCAAGCCAACCCCAGAUGGGUGCAUCCACUCUGCAUGGGGCACCAGUCCCAAGUCCAGUGGACAGGGUUCUGAGUGAUUGCAAGGUCCAUGGGACCCGAAAGGUGGUGAACUAUACCGUGCUAUGAUGAAGCCGUGGGAAACUGCGGUGGAGGUCAGUCGCUGUUCUGACGUGCAAAUUGUGUAGCCUGAGUGCGGCAUAGGGGUGAAAGGCCAAUCGAGCCACCUAGUAGCUGGUUUCCCUCGAAGUUUCCCUCAGGAUAGCCGGGUUCGAAUGCAACACCACAGCAGUGGUUACGUCCGGUAAAGCAACGCAUGAGAGGCACUGCGGGGAGCUCAUGCUCCUCGACCUAUCCUCGAACUGUGAAUGGGCGUGGCAACACCCAACCAAGCAUGCUUCUUCACUGAUGCUGGAGUCUGCAAUCAGGUAGUUCUCCUGGCUUCUGAGCGUGUUUGAAUGGUGGCAGCCCUGACUGUCACCAAGGUCUGGCUGCAAGGCACAGUGCUAUGUCCAAGCUGGCUGUCAUGACUUGACCAUCCAGGAGCGUGGUGAUGGGACACCUUGAUGUGGCAGUGGUACCCAGGAGUCUUGUGGUGUGGUGUGCAUCUCAGUGAGGCCACCUGCCCAUGCUCCAUGGAGCUGCUGACCUGCACAGGGACAGUCCAGCCACAACCCAAAGCUCCAGGAUAGGCUCAGGCUUGGUGGUUGGUGAGGCUGGCCUGUGGGCGGCUUGCGGGACCAUACCCUACACCCUGUGCCAAAGGGUUGCUGCCUGGUGGAACAAACGUGCCCAUGUGGACCAUUACUGGUAAGCAGUGCUGGUGAUGCGGGAUGCUCCGAGAGUGGACUUGAAGAUCCAGAGUGCUGGCUCAUACCCAGAUCCCACAAAGGAUGUUGCUCGCUAGUGAUAGCAGGACGGUGGCCAUGAAGGUUGGAACCCGCUAAGGAGUGUGUAACAACUCACCUGCCGAAGCGUGCAGCUCCCCAAAAUGGAUGGUGCCCAAGUCAGUGAAGCUGAGUUCGCCUUAUAGUCCACUGCCACUGUGGCAGCUGAGCAGAGCAUUGGCAUGUAGAAGGACAUGGGAGACAGCCAUGCCCACUGGGGUUGACCCCAGUCAGAGUGUCUUCUGGAGCAGAUCUUGGUUGCAGUAGCGAGUACUCCAUCGGGUGAAGAGUGGCCACAAACCCACCACUGUGUGCGGUUGAGGACUGGAGUGGAGCAGGUUUCCGCACCAAACAGCCGUUGAAUGCGGGUCAGCCGGCCGUGAGCCAAGUGGUAAGUUCACUGAACAACCAAAGCUGCCAUGCCCUUCAGGGUUGGGAGAUGAAGCCAGACCUGGUGAAUGGGAAGCACACUUGGUGCCAGUGGUUCCAUGGACCAGCGCCAACCUCAAGAGUGGGCAACCCAAUGUCAUCCCAGCCUUGGAGUGGUUCAGGCAGGAGUGGCAAACAGGCAAGCAGUGCAACAUUCUGCUGUGAUGGGCUUGGAGUGCUCUGGUGGUAACACCAUCAGACUUGGAGCAAGCAGGCUUAGGGGCAGUGCACCCCCAGAGGAGUUAUCGUUUCCUCCUGAUGCAAGGCUCAAGUGGGCUAUGGAUUGCAUGUCAAGGUGGUGAUGUAAGCCCUUUGCCCAGCAAGGCAGUGCCACUCUCAGCACUGGUGGAGAUCUCGGGUUACAGUGCUCUGGCAUCAUCCAUGAACUCAGCAAGCACCACUUGGUGGUCACUGGCUCCAAUGAAAGGCCUGCGGGACAUUGUGCUCCUAGACCCUGGCUUUCGUACUGCAUCACCGCAGCCGGUCUCCUCGGCUUGACGCCGCUUGUCCACAGACGAAAUGCAGCUAAGGGAAGUCGGCAAACUAGCCAUGUACCUUCGGAAGAUGUGGUGGCUCCAGAGGCCAAGUCAUGGGGCCCAGUGGUGGUCUGUGUGAUGUGGUGGUGUCUGCCCUGGAUGGUGGUUCACUCCAUCGUCUGGAGCCAAGGUGCCACUGCUAGUGCAGCUCUGCCGCUGGGGGUCAGGUGGUCUUCAUGACUGCCUGUGCCCAUCCCUGUGUCUGAUCAGUGGCCCAUAUGGAACUGUUGCUGCGCAGGGGAAUCUGACUGUUUAAUUGAAACCCAGCUUUGUGAAGGGACCAGCUGGCUGGUUCCAUGAGGUGACUUCUGCCCAGUGCUCUGAUUGUCAAUGCGAAGAGAUUCAGCCAAGCGCGGGUAAACGGCGGGAGUAACUAUGACUCUCUUAAGGUAGCCAAAUGCCUCGUCAACCAAUUAUUGACGCGCAUGAAUGGAUCAACGAGAUUCCUGCUGUCCCUAGUUGCUGUCUGGUGAACCAACAGCCAAGGGAACGGGCUUGGAUGUGUCAGCGGGGAAAGAAAGCCUGGGU
rnacentral:rRNA from 1 species